AUUGAACGCUGGCGGAAUGCUUUACACAUGCAAGUCGAACGGCAGCACGGUCUUCGGUCUGGUGGCGAGUGGCGAACGGGUGAGUAAUGUAUCGGAACGUGCCCAGUCGUGGGGGAUAACGUAGUGAGAAUUACGCUAAUACCGCAUACGAUCUAUGGAUGAAAGCGGGGGAUCGCAAGACCUCGCGCGAUUGGAGCGGCCGAUAUCAGAUUAGGUAGUUGGUGGGGUAAAGGCCCACCAAGCCAACGAUCUGUAGCUGGUCUGAGAGGACGACCAGCCACACUGGAACUGAGACACGGUCCAGACUCCUACGGGAGGCAGCAGUGGGGAAUUUUGGACAAUGGGCGAAAGCCUGAUCCAGCCAUUCCGCGUGCAGGAUGAAGGCCCUCGGGUUGUAAACUGCUUUUGUACGGAACGAAAAGGUCUCUCUUAAUACGGGGGGCUCAUGACGGUACCGUAAGAAUAAGCACCGGCUAACUACGUGCCAGCCGCCGCGGUAA
rnacentral:rRNA from 1 species